AUACUUACGUGGCAGGGGAGAUACCAUGAUCACAAAGGUGGUUUUCCCAGGUAAAGGCUUAGCCAUUGCACUCUGGAUAUGCUGACCCCUGCAGUUCCCCAAACGCGGAAACUCGACUGCAUAAUUUGUGGUAGUGGGGGACUGCAUUCGCUGUCUCUCC